rnacentral:lncRNA from 1 species
AAUCACCACCGGUGGUUUGUAUACUGGUACCGGCGGAGGACACGGCUUCUUCGGGAUCACUACCGGUGGAAUGUAGAUUGGUGGAUGCUCUAUCUUCGGCGGCGGCUUGUAAACCGGAACUGGAGGUGGGUGCUCUAUCUUCGGCGGUGGAAUGACUAUCUUUGGCGGCGGCUUGUGGACUGGAACCGGCGGUGGAUCAACUUUCUUCGGCGGUUUAGGCGGACAAGGCUUCUUCGUUGGUGGUUUGUAGACUGGCACCGGCGGUGGAAGCUCCACCUUCGGCGGCUUAGGCGGACAUGGCUUCUUCGGUGGCUUGUGUACCGGAACUGGAGGUGGGUGCUCUAUCUUUGGCGGUGGCUUGUAAACCGGAACCGAAGGUGGGUGCUCUAUCUUUGGCGGUGGCUUGUAAACCGGAACCGAAGGUGGGUGCUCUAUCUUUGGCGGUGGCUUGUAAACCGGAACUGGAGGUGGGUGCUCUAUCUUUGGCGGUGGCUUGUAAACCGGAACCGGAGGUGGGUGCUCUAUCUUCGGCGGUUUAGGUGGACAAGGCUUCUUAGGAAUAGGCGGUGGAAGCUCCACCUUUGGUGAUGGCUCGUAAAUCGGGACAGGUGGGGGAACCUCUUUCUUUGGCGGUGGAUCGUAAACCGGAACCGGAGGCGGAACCUCUUUCUUUGGCGGUGGCUCGUAAACCGGAACCGGAGGUGGAACCUCCACAGGAGGGCUGAAUUUAGGUGGACAUGGCUUCUUGAGAAACGGUGGAAGUUCCAAAGGUGGAGGUAAAGGGAACGGAUGAUCAAAGCCCUUAAAAGGUGGCAACUUAGGCAUAUGCCAGAAGAAUUUCGAAACACAAAUUUCGGGUGAAAAUUUCAGAUUUUGUUUGAGACCCAAAACGUGUUUAUCCCCGGAUUUGGAUAAAAACACGAUCUUCGUGGAUUCGAGGCCGUCGUGAGCCGGACAAGGGGUUCCCGCCGCGCUGUGAAGCUGAGCGUAACACUCCUCCUUCAACGCUCCGUCGUCGGAGACAAUGUCAUGAGGAAUACUAAGACCAAAUUUUCCUUUGUCGUCAAUGUUUCCGGAGCCUUUUGUAACAAAAUGGCCUUUAUUCACCUUACAGUCGAUCGUCACUCGGAGUCCUAUAACAAAUAAUAUCACACAUUGAUCAAAUAAUCACAAAAAAAAGGAACUAUAUAGUAUAUAAGUUAAUAAUGUGGUUAUGAGUUACCUGAAAAUGCAUGGGGGGUUUUGAUCUUGCUCUCGGCGUAACCGACAACUUCGACGACACGAGCGAGAGUGAGAGUCGCUGAAAAGAGAACCGACACGAGAAGGAGAAUGCACGGAACCGAACCUCGAGGUUCGGGUAAGAUCCUCAUUGGGAUUCUCACCCUCUGAGAGUUCUGACACACUUCUCUUUCGUUUGCUGAAAAUAUAAAGUUUAUAAGAAGAACAAAAAAACUAUAUGAUAAAUAGAGUAUUAGUGGAGAAGGUGAGGAUAUGAUUAUAGCGAGACUUCUUCUCGUUUAUAUAAUGGUCUUAUCAAAGAUUUUUCCGAAGAUUGAUCUUAAUAAUUUCUUCCUAAUUAACCUUUAGUUUUUUUACCAACAAUAAUUGGAUUCGGCGGUUCCUAUUAUUUUGUUUUGUGGAUCAUUUAUUUAAUGUCAUGGUCCAUCUUCUCGUUGUUACGUUCGUCUAUUCGGCACUUUAUGAUAUUUUUCAUGCAGGGUGGUUGAAACACUUUGACUUUUUUUUUCCUUAAUACGACAACGGCAUUCAAAUUUACUUUUUGUUUCCCUCAUCAGCGUUAUUGCACGGGACACAUGCGUAGAACUUUUGCCACACGAAAGUUUUGAUCCACAAAUGUGGUUAAUUAAUUUUAUUGUUGUAGAGAUUGCAGGAUGAGCAUGCACAUUUUUUUUUGUUUCACAAACACGCUUUAUAGUUUUCAUAUGAAAAAAAAAAAGAAAAGAAAAUGAAUUAAUAAGUGCGUGUAUACGGCUCCACCAACCGAAAAUUGAAGCGAAUCACAUUAUGGUUAGAAGAGAAACUUAAAUGUUUAUGGAAAAAAAGAUAUAGUCACACUCCUUGUCGGCUUAUAGUUCUCGUCCACUAUUAUUUUACCGGAAAUCCAUUACUAUGCUUGUCAAAGCCCACCCAACGCAACAAAUAUUCUUUAUCUUUGGAUUUAUGUACGCCAUGCAGCCAUGAUCUACUGUUUUAACCGUAUAUACAUAAAAAUAAAAUAGAGUAAUAGUAAUAAACUAACGAAAUUGGUCAGAAAAGAGGAUUGAUUUAUUGGUUAGAUGGAGAUAGAAGUUAAUAUCUAUCAUCAAUCUACUUCGUCUUUGAAGUUGGCAAGGCCCUUCAAUAAAAGCAUGCCAGCUCAAAAGCCUACUUCACUAUUUUUUUUUUUUUUUUUUUGACAAGCUGAAGAAGUAACUACUAUUUCUUCAUUUUUGAUGAAAAAUAAUACGUAAACGUUUGAUUAUAAAUUUCAUUUUGUUCGAAAUGAAAAGAAGAGUUGAAGAUCACUUAAGAAAGACAAACAAAAAAAAAACACUUAAGAAAGACGAAAACAUAGCAACUUGAUAACAAAUAAGAACGAGCACUUUUACGAAUGCAGCUAUAUAAUAAGAAUUCAACUACAUAUAUAUCGCCACAAUUUUCUCUGAAAUCUACUGUAUAUUGUUUUUACACAAAUGACCGAUAUCAAAUGUUGAAAUUCAAAACUUUCACCCACUCUUCAUUGUUACUAAAUCCUUACACGUUCUUAUAAAAAUUGAUGCAAAAGUAGAAAUAUCUGAUGUCGCAAAAUUAACAUGAUGCAUAUAUAUGUGGGUGCAUGCAAUAGCUAGUCCGACUUUCGAAUCGAGGGACCUGAUAUAUAUAAAGAGAUAAAUUUUAGUCCUGACUGCGUUUUAGGUGCUAGAAUUACAAUGCGAACUAGAAAUAAAAAAUGGAGGAUUGCAUAAAUGUUAAAGAUAUCAUAAUGUUGGUUGCCGUAUUAAAGCUCCACCUACUCAUCCACGCACAUUAAUACGGUGGCUUUGGACAGUUGUACAACUAAGAGGCUCAAGUUUAAUUAAAGUUAUUAUUUAUAUUCAUUUUCUGGUAUACAGAAUAAAUAUAUACUUGCAUUUUAUUUUUUAACGUAUACUUGCAUACUGCACACAUAAUCCCUAUUAAGGCCCAUUCUUAAAUGUAAAAACAUGUAUUCAAUAGCCUAAUUGUGUAGAUGGUUGGUGAGUGUAGUGGUCGAUCGAUCGGGGUAUAGCCUAUAGCGACUAUGCUUCCUUUGAAAACAUAAAUUCAUGAUCGCUAAUUUAAGCAAAAAUAGAUGUUUCUUAUGUAAGAUCAUUUUUCCAAUAUCAGAUUAUAUAGAGCUUCACUUUUUUUUAAAAAAAAUUGCAUUUUGCUUUUAAGUCUACUAUUAUGAUGUAUAUUAAUAUAGUCAAACAUGUUUUCUUAUAAUUGAAGACACGAUCUCGUGUGUUUAGGCUAAGCAAAGUUACAAAUUGCUUGUACACGAAAAAAGAAUUUUUUUUUAUAAACAUUUGCAGUAAUAAUUACUGUGAUAAAAUAAACACUUGAAAGUUGUAUAGAAUUUUAUGUUUGCGUAUAAAACAAUCAAUGUAUAAAAUAUAAGGAUUUUUUAGUAAGGAUAGAAUUCUAAAAAAAAAAAAAAAAAAAAAAAAGGAUAGAAUUCUAUUUCAAAACAUGUAAUCGACGUUGAAACGAUUUACCAAUAGAAACAAUCGUAUAUAUAAUUAUAUAAGAAAGAUAAACCCUAUAUAUAUAUAUAUCUUAGGGAGCGAUAAUAAAUGUAGGUAGAAAAGAAGUAGCAAGAAAAAAAAAGAUAUCUAAUAUUGGGGCAACCAAGGAUAUAGUCCCACAUGGUGUGAGUUUUGCGAUAAUAGUUUUGUUAGGUGACAUGCGAUAAAUAUGUGAACUGUAUAUGGUUCCCACAUUGAUUAAAUCGAAAAUUGUUUUAUGUAUGUAUGUAUGAAAAAUUGUUUUUUUUUCCAUAAAUAUGAGACGUACGUAAAAAUAUCCCGACUAAUGCAGAUCUGGAUGCUGACAUAUUCUCUGAAAAUACAACUACAUUAUUGUUUAUAUAAACUCACAGAGAUAUAUUGAAUGUAAAGGACAAAUGGAGUCCAAGAGAUUUUUACUACUUGUAGAAGUGAAACACAAAGGUUGGUGUCCAGAAUUGUACGGAUGGAUUGAAAUUAAGUGAAAAUGAGCGGAACAAAAGUAAAACAAUGGUGAUACAUCUCAUUUGACAAUGUCAUCAUGGGUGCAAUGAAUUCGAAUUCAUACCCAACUCGAAGCUACUACAUAUACCAAAAAAAAAAUCGACCUAGGUUAUUCAAGUCUUUUUUUUUUUUUUUUUUUUAAUCAUGUAAGUGAAUUUGCUUGUGAAGUCUUCAAAUCAUUACUAUUAUUUUUUAAAAUAGAGAAAAAUCUUUUCAAUCUCAUCAUUAACAAUUUGCAAACUUAAUUUACAUCAUACAUCCAAAAAACGUCUUAAGCAAAAGUGUCCUCACGAUCAAGGUCACCAUCCUCCUCCAUAUUGCUGAACUCGAGGAAAUGAGUGGGUCGAUGGUCUUGGUGAUAGUACUCCUUGGGGGUUCCAAGUUUCAAGCUAUAGUUCAUGCCCACCGUGUGAUUAACUCCCAUGAAGUUGUAGUUCCAGGGUCCGUUAUCAGGAACCUAUCAUUCAACAAUGUGUCUCAUCAUUUCAGUGCUGUAUAAUAAAAUAAUAUCAAUCAAGGCCAAACACGCAACAAUUAAGGGUUACUGUGUGUUCUCACCAUGUAGAACCCGAAGAAACGGUCACUCAAGAGCAUCUGAACCUUCUCAUAGUGGGUGGGAAGGUAACCGUGGGGAUUGCUGCCUGCGUCUUUGUUCAGCCGUCCCCAUUCAUACCCGGCUUGCGUCAGCUUAUAUGACAUCAAAGAGCAUGAGCCCGGAGUGAAACUACAUGUCAGGAUGAUGCAUUUUUCUCCGUCCCAUUGCUUGUUAUUCUCCAGAACACGGGAGUGAAAAGUCACAUCCUACAGCAGCCGAAAAAAAAAAAACCCAGUUAUUAGGUGUAAAGUUUGUAAGAAGGUAUACACAUAUAUAUUUAUAUACAUACCUGUGGUGACAACUGAGGAAGCUCGUUAGGCUGUGUGUGCAUCCAUCCCAGGGGCUCUAAAUCAUCCAAGAACUGAUGUUCCGGAAAAGACGACGGCAGUUGAACUUGCUGGUGAUUUCCCCAUUGCGGCACCAUCACAACACAACGGAUUUCCUUCACUUGAGGAUUAUCCGGCGGACUUAUCCCAUAUAAAUAUCCAGCAAUUUGAGUUCGAAGAUCCGCUAUGCAUAUGAACUUCUUCAAUAUGUUCUUGGGCAUAACGUAGGUGUAUCCAGUUUCCUGUGAACAACAAACAAAUACGUUUUAGGGCCUUUACUUAUUAUUUAUUAAUUUGACUAAGUAAGUCUGAGCGAAUUUGACUUUGUACCUUUAUGUCGUCCGAGUUCACGUAGAUGUGGUUGACCCUGAGGUAGAGGUUAGUAGCUGAAAUUGCGCGCACACGCCAGUCUGUUUUGGAUCCAAAUGCAGAUUGCUCGUACGGACUAAUGGUGGUGCUAAUCAAUUCAUCACCAUGAACAUUUGUGGUUCUUGUUGUGACUGCAGUAAGCUGGCUCGCUUGCUUUGACUGCAGCAGGAAACAUUUUUACAUUUUUUUUUAGAGUAACCAAAAUAAAUCUAAUUUCUGAAUGUCCCUGUUUCAAGAACCCUUGAGAGAAGUGACAGUUACAAGUACCUGUUUCUCAAUCUCAGCUAUCUGUUGCCUCUGCUGAGACGGAGGAGUAAUCUCCGCUCCAAGUAUUAUAUCUCUGAUCUCUGACUGUGUCAGAGCUGACGUAUUCACGUUGUUUUUCUUCGCGUAGUCAGAAAGGAUGAGAUCUCUAAGAGCAACCUCCACCUGAAUAUAACAAUGAAUCAUCAGAUGUGAGUAAGGAAGGAGGAUAAUAA